UUGACUUGGAUCUCUCCCUCCUCCCAGGAAGGCCCUAGUCCCGAGGAGAGACAUCAGGUGGUGCACUCGCCCUCUCCACCCCGCCCCCCUCCACCACCAUGACAGACUGGAAACCAGAGGCCACUGCAGGUCACCCUGCUCAUGUGGCCAGAUAUGAGCACAGUCUGGAACUUCAGACACCCUCCCCCCUUCCAGGAAACUGACCCAAGGAGGGGCCUGGGCAUAUAUAGGGAGCCACUGUGGGAGGGCCUGGCCAGAGAGGCUUCAGGCAGAGAAGGCAAGACAAUGGCUUCUGAGGCAGCAGCA